UAAUAAUAUAGUUAAAUAAAAGUCAUAAUUACAGUAUUUAGCAUAGUUACAGCAUUUUACACUUGUUUACUAUUGUCCUCUGUCACAUUCUUUAUCAUUUCCAAUCUCCUAAUCAUGUCACCUUGGAAAAA